rnacentral:rRNA from 1 species
CAGCCGCCGCGGUAAUACAGAGGAUGCAAGCGUUAUCCGGAAUGAUUGGGCGUAAAGCGUCUGUAGGUGGCUUUUCAAGUCCGCCGUCAAAUCCCAGGGCUCAACCCUGGACAGGCGGUGGAAACUACCAAGCUGGAGUACGGUAGGGGCAGAGGGAAUUUCCAGUGGAGCGGUGAAAUGCGUUGAGAUCGAAAAGAACACCAACAGCGAAAGCACUCUGCUGGGCCGACACUGACACUGAGGGACGAAAGCUAGGGGAGCAAAUGGGAUUAGAUACCCCUGUAGUCCCUGUCUCUUAUAA